CGGGACGGGUGAGUAACGCGUGGGUAACCUGCCUCAUACAGGGGGAUAACAGUUAGAAAUGACUGCUAAUACCGCAUAAGCGCACAAAACCGCAUGGUUUGGUGUGAAAAACUGAGGUGGUAUGAGAUGGACCUGCGUCUGAUUAGCUAGUUGGAGAGGUAACGGCUCACCAAGGCAACGAUCAGUAGCCGACCUGAGAGGGUGACCGGCCACAUUGGGACUGAGACACGGCCCAAACUCCUACGGGAGGCAGCAG
rnacentral:rRNA from 1 species